rnacentral:rRNA from 1 species
CCUACGGGGGGCAGCAGUAGGGAAUUUUGCGCAAUGGGCGAAAGCCUGACGCAGCAACGCCGCGUGAUCGAAACGCCCUUCGGGGUGUAAAGAUCUGUCAGUGGGGACGAAACUUGACGGUACCCACAGAGGAAGCACCGGCUAACUCCGUGCCAGCAGCCGCGGUAAUACGGGGGAUGCAAGCGUUAUCCGGAUUUAUUGGGUUUAAAGGGUGCGUAGGCUGUGAGGUAAGUCAGCGGUGAAAUGCCCCCGCUCAACGGGGUGAAGUGCCAUUGAUACUGCCUUGCUGGAAUGCGGAUGCCGUGGGAGGAAUAUGUGGUGUAGCGGUGAAAUGCAUAGAUAUCACACAGAACACCGAUUGCGAAGGCAUCUCACGAAUCCGCGAUUGACGCUGAUGCACGAAAGCGUGGGUAUCAAACAGGAUUAGAUACCCCAGUAGUC